UCUCUCACGGAUUUUUGUUUUCGAGCACAGAAUCAGUUCUUGAAGAGCGAUUGAGUUCGAUUCACUGCUCAACUGUUUCAUGGCUUCACUGCUCAAAGGUUGGUUCAUUCUUCUUCAACCCUCUUUCUUCGUCAAUCGUUCCUUCAAUUUCAGCAUUUUCUGUUCUCUGAUUUGGUUUCGCUGCAUGCGUUUUCGAUUCUCUCUGCAACCUUCGCUGUUGCUGUUGUAACAGUUUCGAAUCAUUUGAAAAUUGUUUGAUACUAUCUAUGGAAUUUUUAGCUUGCGUUGGGAGUAGAUACCUAAUUUUCUUGGUAUUUUUAUCCUGGUUUCUGAGGCAUACACACUGUUCGGUUAAUUGAUUGCCUGAAUUUAUAAGCAUAUUACCAUUGAAGUUUUAAUGCCUAUAAACUGUUCGACAAAAUUCCUGACUGGUUUUCUCUCUUUCCCUUCAUGUCUCCGUUGAGUUUUUUUGAUGCGAAUCAAGUCAGUAUGAUGCUUGCUGAUGGUGUUCCGAGAACGCUGAGAAGCUGGAUUGAAAUGGGACUCCGGGUUUGAACAAUCUAACUUUCCUUAUGCUAUGUCGAUUUGAUGGUUUUUGUCACUCGUAAUGGAACAUGAAAAUCUGAAUAUGCUAUGUCGAUUUGUCGCUUGAAUGAUUGUCAAAUCUUAAAUAGCUGAAAUAUUAGACUUGUGAGUUAACAUGUUUGCUUUGAUGAAAUCUGACAUAUCCUAUUAAUACUAUUACUCACAAAAUAAUGAGUACUGAAACUUCCACAUGGUGGAUAAACAGGUUCUAAGCUAUGACUUUGUCUAUUGGAAGCUUGGGUACAUCCAUUGUUUCUUCAUGAUAUAGUUUCUACUUAAAUUUCAUCGAGUUGAUUUGUCUUUCAAAGCCAAUAGCUUAUCGUUGUGACCACCAGUGCAUAUGGCACCAUACAUGAAUUUCCAUGAUUCCGUAGUUUCUUUUAUAGCAUUAGUAAAAAAUGUUUUAAUGUUGCUUACUUGGAUUCAGGUUAUGUACACUUAACCCUUGACAUGCAAUUAUUAGUAAAAAAUGUGAAACUGAGGCUGCGAGUCAGGUUAACUUCAUUACCUUCAUAAAACCUAGAGCAUAAAUUUCAUAAACCUGUUACAUGGAUGAUAUCACUUUGCAUUUUCCAUGUAACAACUAUGCAAUAUACACUAUUAUAAUGAGAUUCCUGAUGAUGGAACCACUUUAAGCUUAGUGGGACAAAUUUAACUUUAUCCUCAUACUUGCCUAAAAAAUGACAAAUAAAUCAGCACAUGUUAGAGUAUAUAUGAUUUGGCUUCAUUUCCUAAUAUUCUCUCAGUUCUCAUUGCUUUGUGAUAGUAUGUGUGACUGCUUGGACUUGUUAACAAAUAAGUUGGAUGAACACAGCCAGGAUGAGGAGACGAAUGGAAGAUUGUCUGGUAUUAGUAUAUUCUCUUCCAGUAAUGAACCAGCCUAUAUGGAUACUGUGUAUCCUGUUUUCAGGAAUUGGAUGAGGGGCUCAUGAAGGUUAAGGAGAUGGAGAUGAAAGACUUUGAGAUGUUAGCCGAUAAGUUCAACGACCUACUACUUUCCUUGAUACAACAGACCAACGAUCUUAGUGGGAUAUGCCGCAAACACCGGUGAAGUCACCGGUUUUCCAAGGGUUGUGAAUGAAUGGAGAUAUGCUUAAGCUAGAUGGAUCGAAAGAGGAAACGAAAUGAAGUAUUCAAACUGCUGCUGCUGUAUUUUGGAAGAAACUCUCAGCAAAGUAUUUAUCUAACUCUUGUCUAUUCUGUCAAUAUAUGUAGGUAUUUAUUGGUUAACUUAGAUGAACUUGGUUUGCACAUGGUAGUAUAACAAAGAAAUGCUCUCUUACUGAGGUUCUGUAC